rnacentral:rRNA from 1 species
GAUGAACGCUGGCGGCGUGCUUAACACAUGCAAGUCGAACGGAAAGGCUCCUGCUUGCAGGGGUACUCGAGUGGCGAACGGGUGAGUAACACGUGGGUGAUCUGCCCUGCACUUCGGGAUAAGCCUGGGAAACUGGGUCUAAUACCGGAUAGGACGAUGGUUUGGAUGCCAUUGUGGAAAGUUUUUCGGUGUGGGAUGAGCUCGCGGCCUAUCAGCUUGUUGGUGGGGUAAUGGCCUACCAAGGCGUCGACGGGUAGCCGGCCUGAGAGGGUGUACGGCCACAUUGGGACUGAGAUGCGGCCCAGACUCCUACGGGAGGCAGCAGUGGGGAAUAUUGCACAAUGGGCGCAAGCCUGAUGCAGCGACGCCGCGUGGGGGAUGACGGCCUUCGGGUUGUAAACUACUUUCGCUAGGGACGAAGCGCAAGUGACGGUACCUGGAGAAGAAGCACCGGCUAACUACGUG